CGGAACCCUGUACCCCGGCCCGUCCCCCGCCGGUCCUGGUCCUGCAGCCUCCAGCCCUGGUGUGCAGGCGCCAUGGCGUUGCUGGGCCGGCUGUGCGGUGCUCGGGUGACCCGGCUACCCUGGGGCCUCGGCCCGCAGCGGCUUUUCAGUUAUGGAACAAAAACAUUGUAUCAAAACAUCAAUGCUCCACAGUCUAAAUUUUUUCCACCCCUUCAAAAACUCAUGCUGCCACCUAAUACUUUUCAAGGAAAAGUGGCAUUCAUUACUGGAGGAGGUACUGGCCUUGGCAAAGCAAUGACAACUUUCCUGUCCAACCUGGGUGCUCAGUGUGUGAUAGCCAGCCGGAACAUUGAUGUUUUGAAAGCUACUGCAGAACAAAUUUCUUCUCAAACUGGAAAUAAGGUUCAUGCAAUUCAGUGUGAUGUGAAGGAUCCUGAUAUGGUUCAUAAUGCUGUGUUGGAACUGAUCAAAAUUGCAGGACAUCCUGAUAUUGUGAUAAACAAUGCAGCAGGGAAUUUUAUUUCUCCCACUGAACGACUCUCUCCUAAUGCUUGGAAGACCAUAACUGACAUAGUACUAAAUGGCACAGCCUAUGUGACGCUAGAAAUUGGAAAGCAACUAAUUAAAGCACAGAAAGGAGCAGCAUUUCUUGCUAUUACAACCAUCUAUGCUGAGACUGGGUCGGGUUUUGUAGUACCAAGUUCUUCUGCCAAAUCAGGCGUGGAAGCUUUGAACAAGUCUCUUGCAGCUGAAUGGAGUAAAUAUGGAAUGCGAUUCAACAUAAUUCAACCAGGGCCCAUAAAAACCAGAGGUGCCUUUAGCCGUUUGGACCCAACUGGAGCAUUUGAGAAAGAGAUGAUUGACAGAAUUCCCUGUGGUCGGCUGGGGACUGUGGAAGAGCUUGCAAAUCUUGCUACUUUUCUUUGCAGUGAUUAUGCUUCUUGGAUUAAUGGAGCAGUCAUUCGAUUUGAUGGUGGAGAGGAAGUGUUUAUAUCAGGCGAAUUCAACUCCCUAAGGAAGGUCACCAAGGAGGAGUGGGAUGCCAUAGAAGGACUCAUCCGGAAGACGAAAGGCUCCUAAGGCUACUUUGUCUUCAUCUUGGAUACAGUAAAAGUUAGGGACUAGAAACAACAUAAACUGACUGUAAUCUUUUGAUUGACAAACUUAGUGAAGAAACAACACCACCAGGAAUCCAGAAGCCCCUUCUAGACCCCCAUCAAGACUCCCCUGCCUCCUCCCUAGUAUUAAAGCACAGUCUUGGCACUUAGCACCAUAGUUAAGCUGCCUUUGAAAUUUAUACAAAUAUAAUCUUGCAAUAUGUAUUUUUCUGCUUUUGGCUCUUUUCUGUGUAGCAAUUUUAUGCAUUCACAUUGUUCUAUACUAUUCUUUUGA